ACUCCUACGGGAGGCAGCAGUGGGGAAUUUUACGCAAUGGGGGAAACCCUGACGUAGCGACACCGCGUGAGCGAAGAAGCCCUUUGGGGUGUAAAGCUCUGUCAGCUGGAACGAAAACAAUGACGGUACCAGCAGAGGAAGCAUCGGCUAACUACGUGCCAGCAGCCGCGGUAAGACGUAGGAUGCGAGCGUUGUCCGGAUUUAUUGGGCGUAAAGAGUUCGUAGGUGGUUUGUUAAGUUUGGUGUUAAAGAUCGGGGCUCAACCCUGGGACUGCACUGAAUACUGGCAGACUCGAGUGUGGUAGAGGCUAGUGGAAUUCCCAGUGUAGCGGUGAAAUGCGUAGAUAUUGGGAAGAACACCGGUGGCGUAGGCGACUAGCUGGGCCAUAACUGACGCUGAGGAACGAAAGCCAGGGGAGCGAAUGGGAUUAGAAACCCCUGUAGUCCCAUGAU
rnacentral:rRNA from 1 species